rnacentral:rRNA from 1 species
GAGUAAUGUCUGGGAAACUGCCUGAUGGAGGGGGAUAACUACUGGAAACGGUGGCUAAUACCGCAUAACGUCGCAAGACCAAAGAGGGGGACCUUCGGGCCUCUUGCCAUCAGAUGUGCCCAGAUGGGAUUAGCUUGUUGGUGAGGUAACGGCUCACCAAGGCGACGAUCCCUAGCUGGUCUGAGAGGAUGACCAGCCACACUGGAACUGAGACACGGUCCAGACUCCUACGGGAGGCAGCAGUGGGGAAUAUUGCACAAUGGGCGCAAGCCUGAUGCAGCCAUGCCGCGUGUAUGAAGAAGGCCUUCGGGUUGUAAAGUACUUUCAGCGGGGAGGAAGGUGUUGUGGUUAAUAACCGCAGCAAUUGACGUUACCCGCAGAAGAAGCACCGGCUAACUCCGUGCCAGCAGCCGCGGUAAUACGGAGGGUGCAAGCGUUAAUCGGAAUUACUGGGCGUAAAGCGCACGCAGGCGGUCU